rnacentral:rRNA from 1 species
UCGGGAAUUUUGGGCAAUGGGCGAAAGCCUGACCCAGCAACGCCGCGUGAGGGAUGAAGUAUUUCGGUAUGUAAACCUCGAAAGAAUGGGAAGAAUAAAUGACGGUACCAUUUAUAAGCUCCGGCUAACUACGUGCCAGCAGCCGCGGUAAUACGUAGGGAGCAAGCGUUGUUCGGAUUUACUGGGCGUAAAGGGCGCGUAGGCGGCGCGGUAAGUCACUUGUGAAAUCUCUGAGCUUAACUCAGAACGGCCAAGUGAUACUGCUGUGCUAGAGUGCGGAAGAGGCAACCGGAAUUCUUGGUGUAGCGGUGAAAUGCGUAGAUAUCAAGAGGAACACCUGAGGCGAAGGCGGGUUGCUGGGCCGACACUGACGCUGAUGAGCGAAAGCCAGGGGAGCAAACG